rnacentral:rRNA from 1 species
CGGGGUGCUCCAGCAGUGGGGAAUAUUGCACAAUGGGCGCAAGCCUGAUGCAGCCAUGCCGCGUGUAUGAAGAAGGCCUUCGGGUUGUAAAGUACUUUCAGCGGGGAGGAAGGGAGUAAAGUUAAUACCUUUGCUCAUUGACGUUACCCGCAGAAGAAGCACCGGCUAACUCCGUGCCAGCAGCCGCGGUAAUACGGAGGGUGCAAGCGUUAAUCGGAAUUACUGGGCGUAAAGCGCACGCAGGCGGUUUGUUAAGUCAGAUGUGAAAUCCCCGGGCUCAACCUGGGAACUGCAUCUGAUACUGGCAAGCUUGAGUCUCGUAGAGGGGGGUAGAAUUCCAGGUGUAGCGGUGAAAUGCGUAGAGAUCUGGAGGAAUACCGGUGGCGAAGGCGGCCCCCUGGACGAAGACUGACGCUCAGGUGCGAAAGCGUGGGGAGCAAACAGGAUUAGAUACCCUUGUAGUC